rnacentral:lncRNA from 1 species
GAGAUCGAGACCAUCCUGGCCAACACGGUGAAAUCCCGUUUCUACUAAAAAUACAAAAAAUUAGCCCACGCCCGCAGUCCCAGCUACUCGGGAGGCUGAGGCAGGAGAAUGGCGUGAACCCGGGAGGCAGAGCUUGCAGUGGGCAGAGAUUGCGCCACUGCACUCCAGCCUGGGCAACAGAGCAAGACUCUGUCUCAAAAAAAUUAAUUAAUUAAUUAAUAAACAAUACAAAAAGAAAAAGUAGCCAGGUGAGAUGGUGUAUGCCUGUAAACCUAGCUUUUUGGGAGGCUGAGGUGGAAGGAUUGUUUGAACCUGGGAGGUGGAGGUUGCAGUGAGCUGAGAUUGCGCCACUGCACACUCCAGCCUGGGUGACAGAGGGAGACUCAGUCUCAAAA